rnacentral:rRNA from 1 species
AGUGAACGCUGGCGGCGUGCCUAAUACAUGCAAGUCGAACGAGUGGCGAACGGGUGAGUAACAUAUCGGAACGUACCGAGUAAUGGGGGAUAACUAAUCGAAAGAUUAGCUAAUACCGCAUAUUAUUCGAGCGGCCGCUAUCUGAUUAGCUGGUUGGGGGGGUAAAGGCCUAUCAAGGCGACGAUCAGUAGCGGGUCUGAGAGGAUGAUCCGCCACACUGGGACUGAGACACGGCCCAGACUCCUACGGGAGGCAGCAGUGGGGAAUUUUGGACAAUGGGCGCAAGCCUGAUCCAGCCAUGCCGCGUGUCUGAAGAAGGCCUUCGGGUUGUAAAGGACUUUUGUCAGGGAAGCGUUACCUGAAGAAUAAGCACCGGCUAACUACGUGCCAGCCGCCGCGGUAAUUC